GGGCGUGUGGUCUAGUGGUAUGAUUCUCGCUUUGGGUAACUGCUUAGUUUACUAGGUAGAUAACACAAACAUGCGAGAGGCCCUGGGUUCAAUUCCCAGCUCGCCCC
rfam:Candida tanzawaensis NRRL Y-17324 unplaced genomic scaffold CANTAscaffold_3, whole genome shotgun sequence.